AGAGUUUUUGAGGAAGAAAGCAAAGAGGGAUCGUUUUCUGUCAUUUCUCGGAACAACCUUUCUAUAGUUGUAUGAUUAAUUUUAUUCAUAUUUUCCUGCGAUAAAAAGGAGUCUCUAUAUUCCUCCGCUUCAAAAUGUUUUUCUCCAAACACCGUUGUAUAAAAACAUGCUAGAAACAACCCAUAAAUGAAAAACCGUUGCAAUAAAAACAUUUUAAAAAUAGUAGAUGAAAUCCCGUAAAAACCCAAAUGCCAGGUUGAUGUUUAAGGGGAAGGUGAAUUUUGAAAAUCUGUGGCCAAGGGCUAUAAUGC